GACGGAGGAUGCAAGUGUUAUCCGGAAUCACUGGGCGUAAAGCGUCUGUAGGUGGUCAAAUAAGUCAACUGUUAAAUCUUGAGGCUCAACCUCAAAAUCGCAGUCGAAACUAUUAGACUAGAGUAUAGUAGGGGUAAAGGGAAUUUCCAGUGGAGCGGUGAAAUGCGUAGAGAUCGGAAAGAACACCAACGGCGAAAGCACUCUGCUGGGCUACACUGACACUGAGAGACGAAAGCUAGGGGAGCGAAUGG
rnacentral:rRNA from 1 species